CCUACGGGAGGCAGCAGUGGGGAAUAUUGCACAAUGGGGGAAACCCUGAUGCAGCGACGCCGCGUGAGUGAAGAAGGAUUUCGGGAUGUAAAGCUCUAUCAGCAGGGAAGAGAAUGACGGUACCUGACUAAGAAGCCCCGGCGAACUACGUGCCAGCAGCCGCGGUAAGACGGAGGGUGCAAGCUUUAUCCGGAUUUACUGGGUGUCACGCGUGCGUAGGUGGCAGGGCAAGUCAGAUGUGAAAGCCCGGGGCUCAACCCCGGUCUUGCCUUUGAAACUGUCCAGCUGGAGUGCAGGAGAGGUAAGCGGAAUUCCUCGUGUAGCGGUGAAAUGCGUAGAUAUUAGGAGGAACACCAGUGGCGAAGGCGGCUUACUGGACUGUAACUGACACUGAGGCAC
rnacentral:rRNA from 1 species